rnacentral:rRNA from 1 species
ACUUUUAUCAAUAUGAUCUUUUUAAAAAUAUUACGCUGUUAUCCCUAAGGUAAUUAAUUUUUAAUUAAUUUUAAUUAUUAUUAUAAAAUUAUUCAAUUAUUAUCAUAAAUUAAUGUUCAAUUUUAAUUUUAAAGUUAAUUUAAUUUAAUUAUCCUCCCAAUAAAAUAUUAAUUUUAUUAAAUCUUAUUUUAUAUUUAUUUUAAAAAAUUAUAUCAAAUUCUAUAGGGUCUUCUCGUCCCAUAAUUUUAUUUAAGAAUUAUUACUUAAAAUUUAAAUUUUAACAUUUUAUAUUAGACAGUCUUAAUCUCAUCAAUUCCUUCAUUCCAGUUCUUAAUUAAAAAACAAUUGAUUAUGCUACCUUAGCACAGUCAAAAUACUGCGGCUAUUUAAUUUCAAAUCAU